rnacentral:rRNA from 1 species
GAUGAACGCUGGCGGCGUGCCUAAUACAUGCAAGUCGAGCGAACGGACGAGAAGCUUGCUUCUCUGAUGUUAGCGGCGGACGGGUGAGUAACACGUGGAUAACCUACCUAUAAGACUGGGAUAACUUCGGGAAACCGGAGCUAAUACCGGAUAAUAUUUUGAACCGCAUGGUUCAAAAGUAAAAGACGGUCUUGCUGUCACUUAUAGAUGGAUCCGCGCUGCAUUAGCUAGUUGGUAAGGUAACGGCUUACCUAGGCAACGAUGCAUAGCCGACCUGAGAGGGUGAUCGGCCACACUGGAACUGAGACACGGUCCAGACUCCUACGGGAGGCAGCAGUAGGGAAUCUUCCGCAAUGGGCGAAAGCCUGACGGAGCAACGCCGCGUGAGUGAUGAAGGUCUUCGGAUCGUAAAACUCUGUUAUUAGGGAAGAACAUAUGUGUAAGUAACUGUGCACAUCUUGACGGUACCUAAUCAGAAAGCCACGGCUAACUACGUG